rnacentral:lncRNA from 15 species
CGGGCUUUGCCUCUGCAGGGUCUGAUUGGGCUCCAGGUGUCAUUAAUGAAUUUAAUUAGUGCAGAGCACCAAUAUAAGAGUAGCACAAAGCUUCUUUCUACAACUUCCACUGGGCUGCUGAGGCUGAAACUGCUGCUCUUUGAGUCAAACAUGGCACUUGGACUUGCGUUAAGGGUUUCUUGGAUCUGUCUGUUAGUGAGCAGUGGUGCUUGUUUUCCUGCAACAAAAGGAGGUGUUGCUGGCGGAGCCGACUCGUCAUUCUACGACCCGAGCAACUGGAUGCCAUCCCGUGGUUUUCCAGACUUCAGCGUCUGGGAAACGGAUAACCAGGAGAUGCAGCAGAGCGGGAAGGAUCCGUCUGAUGUGCCGCCUCCAGCCAUCGUCAUCCAGUCCUGGAAUGGCUACCAGCGAGCAAGAGAAGACCUUUCCCACACCAAGUACUCCCUAGACUACUAUGACCCACCAGCCUUUCCCUGGGAGGCUGCCAAAGCACCGGGCAAGAAUCCACCAGUGAAGGACGGAAGGAAGGUCUAAUGAGGGUGAACUUAAACUGUCCUGGAACUGUUUACAUGUUUGAACAAGUGGUAAUAAAAAUCUGACUAUGGAAACUGUAUUGUUUCUUACAGAAUUGAUGCUUCAUUUAUG